rnacentral:rRNA from 1 species
AUGAUAUUCAGGUCGCACUCCACUUUUUCUUUUGCAGAAACGUGGUUGGUGUCAGAAAGUUACAAGAGGUCCAAUACCAAUUUUUUCUGUAUCCGUUCUAGGGAAAUGAACAAUUUUAUUGCAAUUGUUGUUCUAAGGUUGGAAGUGAAAAUAUGUAUUGGCGAUCACUGUUUGAGCUGGUGCUGUGGGCGAUCUGGUAUGAGCGCAGUCGUUACAUUUUCACAAUCCAGAGUAAUCGGCUUUCUCUCCCGUUUUCCAUGUGUUUUGUAUGGUAUUUAUUCCUCUAUCAAGGAAAUCAACAAUUCUUUUGUUGGAGUUUAA